UGGGAAAUCUUCCGCAAUGGGCGAAAGCCUGACGGAGCAAUGCCGCGUGAACGAAGAAGGCCUUCGGGUUGUAAAGUUCUGUCCUAGCCGAAGAGAGAGGAAGGGAGUAACUGCCCUGCCUAGGACGGUAGGCUAGGAGGAAGCCCCGGCUAACUACGUGCCAGCAGCCGCGGUAAAACGUAGGGGGCAAGCGUUGUCCGGAAUCACUGGGCGUAAAGGGCGCGUAGGCGGCAAUAUAAGUCAGGUGUGAAAAGUGAGGGGCUCAACCGUUAGAGUGCACCUGAUACUGUAUAGCUUGAGUAUGGGAGAGGGAAGCGGAAUUCCUAGUGUAGCGGUGAAAUGCGUAGAUAUUAGGAAGAACACCAGUGGCGAAGGCGGCUUUCUGGCCCAAAAACUGACGCUGAGGCGCGAAAGCGUGGGGAGCAAACAGGAUUAGAUACCC
rnacentral:rRNA from 1 species